rnacentral:rRNA from 1 species
UCCAGCCUGCCCAGUGACAAAGUUCAACGGCCGCGGUACCCUAACCGUGCGAAGGUAGCAUAAUCACUUGUUCUUUAAAUGAGGACUUGUAUCAACGGCACUACGAGGGCUAUACUGUCUCCUUUUUCUAAUCAGUGAAACUGAUCUCCCCGUGAAGAAGCGGGGAUCAAAAUAUAAGACGAGAAGACCCCAUGGAGCUUUAAACUCACUAUACACCUCUGUGCCUCGAUGCCAUAAAACACAAGAGAUCUGUGUACUAGUUUUAGGUUGGGGGGACCACGGAGUACAAUUUAACCUCCAUAACAAAUGGGCUAACACCCUUAUCCACGAGACACAACUCUAAGAAUUACUAAACUAAUGCUUACGACCCGAUAUUCGAUCAAUGAACCAAGUUACCCUGGGGAUAACAGCGCAAUCUACUUC